rnacentral:rRNA from 1 species
GACGAACGCUGGCGGCGUGCCUAAUACAUGCAAGUCGAACGAGAGCGACCGGUGCUUGCACUGGUCAAUCUAGUGGCGAACGGGUGAGUAACACGUGGGUAACCUGCCCAUCAGAGGGGGAUAACAUCCGGAAACGGAUGCUAAAACCGCAUAGGUCUUCGAGCCGCAUGGCUUGAAGAGGAAAAGGGGCGCAAGCUUCUGCUGAUGGAUGGACCCGCGGUGCAUUAGCUAGUUGGUGAGGUAACGGCUCACCAAGGCCGUGAUGCAUAGCCGACCUGAGAGGGUGAUCGGCCACAUUGGGACUGAGACACGGCCCAAACUCCUACGGGAGGCAGCAGUAGGGAAUCUUCCGCAAUGGACGCAAGUCUGACGGAGCAACGCCGCGUGAGUGAAGAAGGUUUUCGGAUCGUAAAACUCUGUUGUUAGAGAAGAACAAGUGCUAGAGUAACUGUUAGCGCCUUGACGGUAUCUAACCAGAAAGCCACGGCUAACUACGUG